rnacentral:lncRNA from 1 species
CUCUCUGUAUUUCUAAUUUCUAUUCAGGACUUGGUGACGAGUCCUGGGGCUUGGUGUCAAACGGUCCAUGAGGAUCGUCCUGGGUCUGGAGGACUUCCUGUCCUGGGCGUGACGCGCUUUCCCCUUGUGAGUGGACCCUCCAGUGGGCCUGGGCGUGAGGAGAAGGGCCCGGAGCGGCACCAAAGAGGAGCCAGGACAGCGACCGAGGAAGGCACCAGAGCUGUGAGGACCGCUGCACCCUCCAAGGGCGGGGAGCCUGGAUGGCCGCAGAGCAGAGCCGUGAGACCAGCGCCCGCCCUUCAGGACCUCAAAGCCCUGGGGCACCUCCUCGCUGACUUCCAGCUCAUUCUCUCCCUGGUCUUUGCUCAAUGUUUCAGUGGCUCCUGCCAAGAAGGAAACAGGUUUCUUGAAAAUGAAACUGCUUUUCUUAAUCUUUGACAAAAGUGACAGUUUAGGGGACCCUGGGAACCUGGAGAUGUACAGGUCCCAAGGGAGCCACCUGCACAGGGACUUUUCCUAGGCUCUGAAGGA